GGGUUUGCGAACAUAUUUAACCAUGAAAACUAACUGAGUUAUGGCUAAAGGACAUAACGUGCAAGGGUUUGUGAACAUCGAGGGUGAAGGGGGUGGAAGCGGCAAAGCAGACAGGGAGGUGAGCUAUCCCAAUAUUGCCAUGCGCUGAAGGUGUCGCCGUCCAAUAUUACCGCACGGUGAUGAAGGAUUACGGGGAAGAGUUGCCGCGUGAGGGGUUAAUAAGGGAGAGGGGGUAGAGGUGGGGCCCAUUAUCUU
rnacentral:lncRNA from 1 species